GAUGAACGCUAGCUAUAGGCUUAACACAUGCAAGUCGAGGGGAAACGGGCAUGAGAUGCUUGCAUCUUAUGGACGUCGACCGGCGUACGGGUGAGUAACGCGUAUCCAACCUGCCCGCGAGUAGGGGAUAGCCCGGAGAAAUCCGGCCUAAUACCGCGUAUUCUCAAGUUGCUGCAGGCAGUUUGAGGAAAGAUUUAUUGCUCAGAGAUAGGCAUGCGUUCCAUUAGGUAGUUGGUGAGGUAACGGCUCACCAAGCCGACGAUGGAUAGGGGAGCUGAGAGGCUGACCCCCCACACUGGGACUGAGACACGGCCCAG
rnacentral:rRNA from 1 species